UGCGCACAGAUCUAACCAUGUAAUGUAUGUUGUUCAUCAAGAACAAGUGUGUCAGUGCUUGAUCUUUGUACUGUUUCGAUUUUCCCUCCAGGUUGUUUUGAAGCGCCUGCAUUAUCCUCAUUGUUACGGAUGCAAGCUGAGAGUUCGAGUCAUCUCCAUUUCCAAAUUCCGAGAAAAGUUGCUUCAAAGUCGCUUGGUAGCUGACACCAACGAACAUCAACGAAUCAUUAAUAGAAGCACGGAAAAAGACAAAUAAGUUCUAACCAAGUAGACAUAUAUGCGGAACUUACUCGAAUAAGAACUUGACAUAGUUGAUUACAUAGCUUGUUAGUGGGUGGACAGUCCCAUCUAGAACAGCAGUCUUUGUAGCAUCUUUUUCUACAGCUUCUUCGAAGUCACCAAACGUUUCCUGAGCAGUCAACCGCUUUGUCAACCCCGUAGCAGAAUUUCUAAUUUCAGAUUCUUGUUAAGAUUUUCGUGUUGUACUUCCACAAAGUCAUAGUUCAAAACAUAUUCAAAGGUAAGUUAUAUAGUUUGUCCUUAUUCCCUACUGUCAAUUUAGCUUGUUUCACUAAUCCCUAAGACCAAAAGAAAUCUACAAGUUUAAUACUUAAUUUUUAUAAAUAAAUCUUUCAGUUGAAAAAAGAAUAACAAACCGAAUAUUCUUUUAUUCCUCACCCAUAUUGGAACACACCUGAGUGGUGCAUCACAAGGGAUUACAAUAGCACACACACAUUCAAACACAGCACACAGCGUAAUUAAAGACACUAAACAAAACCAAACUGGAAACAAACUUAACGAAGCACAAAGACAAUUAAUAGAGUAAGAUAGUAAUAAUCUGCUGAUUCCGAGGGGAACCGAAGCUUGCCAAAGGAUCGAAGUUGCCCAUACGAGAGAUAACAAAAGACAAACCAAGCUUGUCUUCAUCAACCUUCAUGCAAUCUUCAUCAUUCCAUUCACACAUAAUCCACAUUAUAAUCAUCACCAUAACGAUAAUGAUUAUGAUUAUGAUUAUGAUGAGGCUUAUCAUUCAGACAACACCCACACGUAAAACACAAUUCAUAAUCAAAAUCUACAAGAGAUCUCUUCUUUUUUCUUCUUACCUUUUGUGUGAGUACUCUUGUGUUUUUGGCCAUCCAUUAAAGAAAAUCUGAACCUCUCAAAACCCUUUAUGGUUAGAUCUUCUGAUUGAGUCAGAGGAUUCUUCUUCAUUUCUUUAGGGGAUGGCCAUAGUUUGUGUGUUUUGUGUUGUGCCAAAGAGAGUUUCAACAAUGGAUGCUGCUAGGGUUUUAUGGCUUCUCUCUUUGUCUUUGGUCUUGGAGACACAUUAAAAGAGAAAUUGAAAGCACCCAUUACAUAAGCCAUAGUGUUCUUUCCACUUUUUCUUUAAAAUGCUUUUUUUCUUCAAUAAUUAAUCAGCUCAGUGUAACCACUGUACCACAUGUCUGUUGAUAAUAGUUAUAUAUUGUUUGUCCUAAACUGUAUAUGAAAACGAAUACAAAUCUAACUAACGUAGUUUAUAUAUUAGUAGACCGACAUUAAAACUUUAUGAACGAUGCAUUUAUAUGUAGAGAUGUAUAUGAGUUCAAAGUAUACGUAUCUACAAGUUAUUUUAAGUGAGAAUAAAAUGAAAUAUUGGAAAAAGAUGUAUAGAUUAUUGGUGUAAAGGGGAAUAAAAGUAUGUAAUGUCAUCGGUGUAAGGAUGACAUUGAAAGAAUAAUAUAUUGGGAAAAAGUGGAAGGAGAUGAUGUAAAUGGGAAAGUCUAUGUAAAGAUGUUGGGAGAAUUCGCAUCUUCUAAAAGGAAUAUGCCAUUACCAAACUUAACAAAAAAAUAUGCCAUUACCAAACAUGUGUUUAAAACAACAAACACAUCUCACCACUCAUUAUUUUACUAAAAAGUAUGAAUGUUGAUCGACCUCUAUUGUCUUGUCCGGUUCAAGAACAAUGGUGUGGUAGUUUUUUAAUUGCUAAAAAAAUAUUUGGGUCUUUGCAUUAGUAUUCUAAGUCUUUAUGUUUUUUUUAUAUGACCCAAACCAAAUUUCUAGGAGUAGAAGUUUUCGCCUUAUGGGACAUUUGAAAGGAGGUUUACUGUUCGGUAACAACAUUUUUUAUUAAAUACAAGAAGCUAAAUACAGACAGAUAUGUAAGCCAUGCUUAUUUCAAAACGUGAACGUUAUACAAAAGAGAAAUAACUCGUUUCCAAGUAAUUUACACACUCAUCACUAAGAAAAAUACAAACAAACAAACACGAAUUGUCGACACUCCAUAUACAACGGAGACAGAAGAGAAGUAGUUUGACAGAAAUUUACCUUACAAAAUGAGCUUUGGUAGUUUGAUUUUACCGUCGUGGUUCGUUCAUAGACUUUCCUUCAAACAACUCACCCAACAAUCUCUCAAGAUCUUCAGCUGUAUACUUUAUGUAUCUCUGAGAAUUCUUCCCACUCUCAACCAGAGGCCUACAACGAAUCAUUGGUUCAAAUCUCUUUAUGGUUUACAUUUUGAUAUUAAAAAGCUUUUGCAGGUAAGAAGAAGAUUUUACCCAAAGCGUUUGAGGAAUGAUCUGUAAGCAGGCAAUAAUACUUCAGCAACAGCAAGUCUUAGUGACUCUCUUAGCUCUGUGUCCGGAACUGUCCAUUGUGAUUGUCUCUGAUGCAACUCAUCAAAUUGCAUAUUGAACAUCUUGAACCUGUUCAAUUUUUUUCAAUUUUUUUAAUUCAUCAUUAUCAAGUAGAUAAAUCUUGUUUUCGAUAACUAAUAUAUAAACAUUUUACAAAAACUGUGUGUUUUUUUGGUUACUUGAAGGCUUACCUCUCUUUCAGUAACCCUCUCGAAACUCCGCUGCUGUUUCCUCCCUCUACACUUCCUCCUCCGGAUGAGGUCAACCCUUGCGCCGACGAGGUUUGUAAUAUCUAUAUAUCAAUUCCAUUUAAUCCCUAGCUUCUUAGUAAACCAUAUUAUGAAGAUUUUAAACAGCUACUUUUUGUGUAUAGAGUUAGACAUAUAGGUCGAACCUUUGUCCAAGCAGUCCUUUUGUAUAGGUUUGCAUGUUGCUGAACGACACGCCUGUGCCUUUGAACCCAAUCAUCGCCUAACAAAUCCUUGGCUUCUGACCUGAAAACAUUUAUGAUAUCAAUAAAACCAAACUGAAUGCGUUUUUAUAAACCGUGAUCGGUCUUCAAACGACGAAACUGAACCCACCUGCGCACAGAUCUAACCAUGUAAUGUAUGUUGUUCAUCAAGAACAAGUGUGUCAGUGCUUGAUCUUUGUACUGUUUCGAUUUUCCCUCCAGGUUGUUUUGAAGCGCCUGCAUUAUCCUCAUUGUUACGGAUGCAAGCUGAGAGUUCGAGUCAUCUCCAUUUCCAAAUUCCGAGAAAAGUUGCUUCAAAGUCGCUUGGUAGCUGACACCAACAAACAUCAACGAAUCAUUAACAGA
rnacentral:lncRNA from 1 species